rnacentral:ncRNA from 1 species
UUGAGCCGUAUGCGAUGAAAGUCGCGCGCACGGUUUUGGGGGGAUGGACCAGGAAUGGCUCGUCCCUAC